AUAUGUAGUGUUUAUACAUGAAAUAACAGUUAAUGGAAUGGGCAAAAGUACAACAAGCUCUGGAGAUCAGCUCUACAAGAAAUUGUUCUAUGCUGACCAGAUGUAGGACAAGUACUCAAAAAAAUAAAAAAAAUAAAAAUUUCUGUAGUGCUACCCUGACCAAAAAGGUAAAAAUAAAUAACCUCAUAGUGUUGGCAAAGACCCAUAGAACCACCCUCGUCUACCAUCUCACCUAGAGAAGUGAGUGAAUAAAAAGAAAAUAAAGCCCUAAGACACAAUAAAGUUAUACACAUUUGCAAAUGAAUGCAUUUAACAAUUGGGCUUGUUGGAACUGCUGUAAAUAGAAAACUUGAUCUCAAAGCAACAGUAGAGGGGAUUGAUAUCACUUGCAUAUAACCUCCAAAUGAUUCCCCUGAGGAAGCAGCAAACCAAAUAUCUUCUAAAAGUACUUUCCUGCUGCUGUUUGGUUAUCUGAUUUACCCGCUAAAUCAUAAUGCUAUUGCGUGUUAGCUACUGCAUGAAUCUGCAAUGGAAUCAUAUUCAGAUGGUGAGCUCCUUAAAAGCCUCCAGCUUUCCAUUUGAUGAAACGGAAUCUGCAAUUUUGCCACCUCCAGGAAGGCUUGCACUACCAUUCUCAUGGUUCUUGCCUAUCUGAUUGUACACUGAGUUGGGCAUGGCAGAGCUGCAUUUGCCUUCAAAGUAUGUAGAGUAGGGGAAGUAAUCGGCACAGCGCACCUUCCACCUUGAUGCAGCAUCAUGGUCAGUGAGAGCUGUUUCUAGUAGUUUGUGGACUGCAAUGCAGUCUUUGAGCUUCCAUCCCUUGACCGGUCCGAGUGCUCCAUUUACUGGCACAAGGUUGUUGGCUGAAUCUUCAAUUAAUUUAAUAGCAUCGGAUUUCUUGUUAGGUUCUAAAACAUAUUGCAUCUCUGCAACUGCAGCUCUAUGCAUCAAAGAAUCUUUGUGUUUUUCAAGGAAAAACUUGUUUGCCUCAAUCAGAGAUUUCUCAUGCAAUUCACUGAUUGAUGGUCGUUCUGCUUCCAAGACACGCCAAAUAAGUUUCUCUGUAUCCAUCACUGGAGCAGUCAUUGAUCCCACUUUAUGGAAAAAUCUUAUCAAGCAGC
rnacentral:misc_RNA from 1 species